GACGAACGCUGGCGGCGUGCCUAACACAUGCAAGUCGAACGGAACGGCCCUGCCUUUUUGGGGUGCUCGAGUGGCGAACGGGUGAGUAACACGUGAGUAACCUGCCCCUCACUUUGGGAUAACUUCAGGAAGGUGGGGCUAAUCCCGCAUAGGAGCUCUCGCUGCAUGGUGGGGGUUGGAAAGUUUCGGCGGUUGGGGAUGGAAUGGCGGCUUAUCAGCUUGUUGGUGGGGUAGUGGCUUACCAAGGCUUGGACGGGUAGCCGGCCUGCGCGGGGAACAUGAUCCAUCAGGACGGGAAUGCGACACGGACUACAACGGGACGGGGCAGAGGGGUGGAUAGUACUGGAGACGGGGGGAAGGUCUAGCCAAGCCACGUGGGGGAAGACAUGAAGGGGGUAGGAAUGCGCAGUUGCUUUUGCCGGGGCGUGAAUGACGGUACUGGGUGAAGAAGCACCGGCUAACUACGUG
rnacentral:rRNA from 1 species